rnacentral:lncRNA from 1 species
GCAAACUCGGGCAGGUGGGAUACACCAUGUUGAGUAACUUGUCAGUGAGUUUGAAGGGCGUGUCUACCCCAGGCAUGCAAAGAUGAUCUCUGGUGGAAGGAGCAGAUGAGAACAAUUUGUUCCAACAGCCAUGAAAGCAGCUGAAGCAGCCCUGUGGAGUGUUAAGAGUUUGGCAAGGUCAUCAUCCACUACAUCCCAGGCCAUUGCUGUCAUCCUGACUUUCAUCCUGACCCUGGACUUGGAGGAUGACUGUGGAAGAGAACAUGAGGCUGACGACUUUGUGUAACUCUGCCUAACUUAAGAUCCAAUUUAUGCAUGAGUCAAAAGAUACCAGUAAUGAUGCCAUUUUGGUCCUCUUCAAGUAGGAAGGCCAGCCACCACUACAGCCAUCAUAAUAAUAGGUCUUCCAAGUCCAGUGACAAGAAAAAGGUUAGCAUGACUUAUUUUGGCCCAGGAUGCAACGGAUCACCUCAAAGUCAUCUUCAAUAUCUGAUCAAGCUGUAAGGACUUCAAGAAUCUGCUUCAGCCUUCAUGGCCAUCAGAACAAGUUUUAUUCCACUCAUUCUUCCAGGGGAAGUCUUCCCAUACUUGAGGUAGACACCCCCUAACUCACCAAUGGGUGUGAGAUCUGUCAGUUACCCUCAGCCUGGUGUACAUCUGCCCAGAUGGUUUUACUGUGGUGUGGCCACGCUGCAUGUUUCAGCUUCUUGGAGCCAUGGGUGAGAGUUGAGUGCCAGAAGGACACCAGAAGUGGAUGAGCAACCCUGAAAAGGGCUGAUUUUGUCAUCCAAUGCAAUUACUAUACCUGCUAACCUUGUGCCAUGCACAAGUUUGAUAAACAUGUUUUUCUUAUUUCUUUCCCUGAGAUUGAUUAAAAUAUAAAACCGAAGAAGACUGGGGUCAGAGUUCUGUGGCAUGCCCCUUGGAGAACUUUUUCCACGGAAAUUGAUCAUCCACUAACCUACCCAGCAGCCUCAUUUGCUUUUCCCCCCCUGAAAACAGGCUACUGAGCAGUGAUUCAGAGAUGAAUGUUUCCAGGGCCAGGGCUACCUUGUGGACUUGGGAGGACCAAUGCCAUUGAGAGAUCUUGGACCUGACAGCAAAAGGUGCCUCCUAUUACUAUGUCUCUUCUCAGAGGAGAAGAUGACCACCAAAAGGAAGAUGAGCCAUGUAGGUCUGGUUUCCAGGAGAUAUAGAACUUCAAUGAAUGGC